rnacentral:rRNA from 1 species
AGCAGCCGCGGUAAUUCCAGCUCCAAUAGCGUAUAUUAAAGUUGUUGCAGUUAAAAAGCUCGUAGUUGAAUUUCGAGACCGGUUUAUUGGUCGUGCUUUUGUACGUACUGGUAUUAUUGGUUUCUCCUUUCUGACGAAUCUUAAUGCCAUUAAUUUGGUGUUUUGGGGAAUCAGGACUGUUACUUUGAAAAAAUUAGAGUGUUUAAAGCAGGCUCACGCUUGAAUACAUUAGCAUGGAAUAACGGAAUAGGACGUUUGAUUCUAUUUUGUUGGUUUCUAGGAUCGACGUAAUGAUUAAUAGGGAUAGUUGGGGGCAUUAGUAUCCAAUUGUCAGAGGUGAAAUUCUUGGAUUUAUUGAAGACUAACUACUGCGAAAGCAUUUGCCAAGGAUGUUUUCAUUAAUCAAGAACGAAAUUAGGGGAUCGAAGAUGAUCAGAUACCGUCGUAGUCUUAACCAUAAACUAUGCCGACUAGGGAUCGGAUGAU